rnacentral:rRNA from 1 species
UAGGGAAUCUUCGGCAAUGGACGAAAGUCUGACCGAGCAACGCCGCGUGAGUGAAGAAGGUUUUCGGAUCGUAAAACUCUGUUGUUAGAGAAGAACAAGGACGUUAGUAACUGAACGUCCCCUGACGGUAUCUAACCAGAAAGCCACGGCUAACUACGUGCCAGCAGCCGCGGUACUACGUAGGUGGCAAGCGUUGUCCGGAUUUAUUGGGCGUAAAGCGAGCGCAGGCGGUUUCUUAAGUCUGAUGUGAAAGCCCCCGGCUCAACCGGGGAGGGUCAUUGGAAACUGGGGGACUUGAGUGCAGAAGAGGAGAGUGGAAUUCCAUGUGUAGCGGUGAAAUGCGUAGAUAUAUGGAGGAACACCGGUGGCGAAGGCGGCUCUCUGGUCUGUAACUGACGCUGAGGCUCGAAAGCGUGGGGAGCAAACAGG